rnacentral:rRNA from 1 species
CAGUAGCCACGGGAAUACAGAGGGUGCGAGCGUUAAUCGGAUUUACUGGGCGUAAAGCGUGCGUAGGCGGCUUCUUAAGUCGGAUGUGAAAUCCCUGAGCUUAACUUAGGAAUUGCAUUCGAUACUGGGAAGCUAGAGUAUUGGAGAGGAUGGUAGAAUUCCAGGUGUAGCGGUGAAAUGCGUAGAGAUCUGGAGGAAUACCGAUGGCGAAGGCAGCCAUCUGGCCUAAUACUGACGCUGAGGUACGAAAGCAUGGGGAGCAAACAGGAUUAGAUACCCCUGUAGUCCCUGUCUCUUAUAC